GACGAACGCUGGCGGCGUGCCUAACACAUGCAAGUCGAACGGGGCCCGCAAGGGUUCAGUGGCGAACGGGUGCGUAACACGUGAAGAAUUUGUCCAACGGCGGGGGAUAGCCGGCCCAACGGCCGGGUAAUACCGCGUACGAUCUUCGGGGGGCGAUCCUCUGGAGAUGAAAGACCGCAAGGCGCCGAUGGAGAACUUCGCGGCCUAUCAGCUAGUUGGUGAGGUCAUGGCUCACCAAGGCGACGACGGGUAGCUGGUCCGAGAGGAUGACCAGCCACAUUGGGACUGAGACACGGCCCACGACUCCUACGGGAGGGCAGCAGUGGGGAAUAUUGCGCAAUGGGCGAAAGCCUGACGCAGCGACGCCGCGUGUGGGA
rnacentral:rRNA from 1 species